CCAAUUAGAAGGCCAUUGAGUCACCUCAGUCUUUAAUAUGAUCAGUUUUACCUGUCUUUAUGUAAUUGUUUGCAAUAUAGCACAACGUGAAUAUGGGACUUUUAUUCUUCAUAGCUUGCAUAUAUAUUUCUGACAUAAUGGGGCUUAAGAGGGUAAAAAAUCACUGAUAGACACGAAAAGCACCUAAUUAAGAGACAAUUACGUGCUUUUUGUGUUUUUGUUAAAAUUCUGGGAUUGCAAUUGUGGUCAGAAUGAAAACAGUGUAUAGAGGAGCUCCCCAGGACUGAGGUUGAGAACCACUGGGUUAGAGCAUCAGGAGCUGGGUUUGUGGAGCGUCAUGUUCCUGGCUGGGCGCUGCUGUUGCAUGGGAGAGCUCAUAGCUCCACCCAUCGAAGGACACAAGGAAAGCAAGCAAGGAAUGGACUCGAGAAUGAAGGAAACGAGGAAAUGCGUAAUAGGCAAAUGGAAUGUUCUUUGUCAGUGAAGCGUCAGUUUGAAGGCCCGUUAAUUACAGACGUGGCAGAUGGGGAGAGGUGGAUCCACAGGUCAAUCAUCUGUACGUCACGCGUUCCAAAAAAUACUUCUGCUAAGGAUUCACUCGCGUUUCCUUGUUGAAGCUUCCUACCUCCUCACUCCUAGCUGCUUCAAGGGGCAUUUGACGGGUUGGAACGUACUUCAGGACGCCAGACCUCGAUUGAUUUCUGGGUCAGGCAAGAACCGCGGAGACGAGGACGAAUAAAAUAAGCGACUGGAGUGAGCUCCUGCUCUUGGCUACGUACACUAACCUUCUGCUAGCCACACCCUUUGACUGGUUCACAGCUACACCUGCUCACAUGCACCCGCAAACCUUUCUACUGGAAUAAGCAAGAUUAAUAGCCUGGGAAGGGGACGGGAGGGGUGGAGGGGGCACAGGGUGCAGGACCUAUCCACCCAACCGUCCGAUUACCAGCUGCUCUCAAUAGUGACCAAGGUCAAACCCCAUUAGAGGAGCACCCUGUCAUAGCAGAGGAAAUGGAUUUUAAAAAAUCCCAGCUGCUUAUGUAACACAUGGCCAAACAGAAUAAUUCCUAUCACAGCAUUUAUUUAUUUUAUAUAAUUAGGGCUGCAGCAGAAGAUGCAGUACACAAUCAAUAGUAAUGAAGUGUUUAUGGCACAGCCUGAGUGACUCACUCCACAGCGGCUUUUGCCUAAAGAGCACACAUACAGGGAGCUCCUGGGGACUCUCAGUGAGGCAAAGCAACCCACAGCCUGCAAUCAAAUCUGAGAGAGCGAACUUCAGUGAAGAGCGGGCCUGGGGCAGGGGCGGCUGAUGCUGUCUCUCCUUACUGGCAAACAACAUCACACUUGAGAUGUUUAACCAAGGUUCUGACUCAGUGUGGUAAUAAAAGAUCCCGUGGCACUUUUCGAAAGACUAUUGAGUACCCUGGCCAGAUUUCCAUGAAACUGGUUCUCUACAUCUGGCUACACAAUCAUCCCCCUACGUUGGAUUGGUUACAGAAUUCCUUGCAUUCCCCUCUCGCAUUGAUUCCCCAGGUCGUCAUUGCAAAAGAGAAUUGAAUUCUUCGUUGACCCUCCUGGUUAAAUAUAAGUUUCUCAUAACUGGGGGAGGGAGGAGGGCAGUGUGGGAAAUGAUGGUAGGGAUUGAGGAUCAGGGAGCGUGUGUGUGUGUGUGUGUGUGUGUGUGGGGGGGUGUUCUAGCUCUUUGUUUAUUACCUUGGACAUCCUCUCUAGGUCUGUGUUGGGUAACAGGAGCAACACAAUAACAAAUCAUGCGGGGUAGACCGGAUUCUCUUUUGCCUGGGGAGCCCACAGUCUGUGACGUGUUUGAGCUGGCAGUAUGCUUUAGCUCAGCUCCAGCUCUGAGGUUUAGCCCUCUGCUCCUCUUCUCCAAGGUCUCCACGCUCCUCUCUGCCUCCGCACCUUUUACUGGGUGCCAGCCCUGCAUGAUGAGCUGAAUAAUUCUCUCUAACUUCAUCACUUUCCUCUCUUGCUUAGUGCCAUUUAUUCUCUUCUUGGCUUUUCAGAGACAGGUGCUGUAGAAAUGUGCCUGAUUUAUGGCCUAUGGAAGCAGCAUCCAAACACGAAACACCCUUUUUGUUUUUAACAGUGGUGAUUCUUGUGAUGUCCUUGAAUUUUUUUUCUUCUUUUUUUUGUCUAAUUGAGAUUCAUGUUUAAACAGAUACAGGAAAACAAUGCGGUCCCGCUCUGCCUCCGUGCCUGUCUGGAAUAAAAAUGAAGAACAGAAGCAGCCUUUCUCUCUCUUAGCCUUCCUUCCUGUGCUAUAUCUGGCACAUAGAGCAGCUCUGGUGACCUUCCUUGAUGCGAGGAGUAGGAUGAACUGAAUAGCAUUUGCUUUCCAGAGCAGCCAAGAAUCACAGGAGUUGUUCAAGAGCAUUGCAUUACAUUCCAUCCUUCACACUGCGCAUAUUACAUUACAUUGCAGUAUAUUCAUUGGAUGAUUUUAUAGCACAUUACAUACACAAUAUUACAUUCAUUCCAUAACAUUGCAUUAUGUUGCUUUAUAUUACACCCAUUGCAUUGUAAUACACCACACCCAUUAUGUUGCAUUCAUUUAGCUAGACCUUGCUAACACCAGUCCUUGACCAGCAAGUGUAUAUGGAACAUCCCUGAAGCACUGAUGCCGGUUAACUAUGCUUACCAAGAACCAAAAUAAGAAUACUGUUAACAUAUGGAUUACAUCUGUAACCAUACCAAAGAAUAAAAGCAUUAAGCCAUAAAAUAACAUAACCUAAAUUAGUAAGGUGGGGGACCCAAGGUGGGGGUGCUAGGGGCUGGAGAUAGGGCACCCAAAUCAGCUGCGGUUGA